CCUACGGGAGGCAGCAGUGGGGAAUAGUGGGCAAUGGACGCAAGUCUGACCCAGCAACGCCGCGUGAAGGAAGAAGGCUUUCGGGUUGUAAACUUCUUUUAAGGGGGAAGAGCAGAAGAAGGUACCCCUUGAAUAAGCCACGGCUAACGACGGGCCAGCAGCCGGGGGAAUACGGAGGUGGCAAGCGGUGGCCGGAUUUACUGGGGGUAAAGGGCGUGCAGCCGGAGAGACAAGUCAGAUGUGAAAUCCACGGGCUCAACCCGUGAACGGCAUUUUAAACUGUUUCCCUUGAGUGUCGGAGAUGUCAUCGGCCUUCCUCUUGUAGCCGUUCCAUGCGUCGCUAUUCGGCAGAACACCAGUGUCGACGGCGGCUUACUGGACGAUACCUGACGGUUAGGCGCG
rnacentral:rRNA from 1 species